GGGGCAAAUGCUCUAGGUACGCCUCUGGUAAUGGUAUACUGCCAUAUGUGUGAAAUCAAGAGCGUACUUACUCUUUAUCAGCAACACAUACAAACAUUACAGUGUUCGCUUAGGGAUUGUCCUUCUCACAGACCUGUUUGUAUGUUGCAUAAAUGGCAUCUUUGGUAUUGCUUGUCUUUCAGUUUUUAAUUGCAAUUCCUGCAGUUUGGUGGUUUCCAAGGCCUUACCAACAUGAAAUAGAUUGAGUACUCUGACGAAGUUGGCGCAGAGUGAAUAAAUGCAUUGAAUUAUAUUGCUUGUACUUUUGUAUUUUAUAUUUUUUUUGUUUGACUAUGGGCUCAUGGAACUACUAUACACAAUUGUGG